AAAGAAUUGCCUUGAAAUUGCGGAGGGUUGUAACUGGACGCCUAACCUAACUUGACCCGACAGUUCGGUGCACCCGUUGUAUGCAGAUUACAUCUAACAAAUGAUCACCGAACAUUUCGAGACGGAAGAUUAGAUUCUUUCCAACUAGAAUCUCAUUACGGUUUUGAUCACACACGCGGAUACUCGGGGCCCGCAGUUUGUCGUUCAGAUUUCAAAUUUUUAAUCUCACCCGAACUUUUCACGGUCUUCAGAGUCUGAGCGAGAAUCUGAAAACUUGGAAACUCAGCAAAACGCAGAAGCCAGAAAUACGUCGCCAAAGGCAAAGCUGGCGAAGAGUACCCCCUAUGGGUUGAGCGCAGAAACUAGAAAGGAAGGGAAAACUCCCGUUUGAGAACAAUACAAAAGUUCAGUUUUAUUGUUAGUACGAUUGGAUUGCGCGCACGUGUCAUUUGUGAUUUGCGUGUGCACGUGGCAAUUUCUCAUCGUCACACCGAUAGGUAUGUACUGCGGAUAGGAAUAUCGUUGAAUCAUUUGGACGUUAUUCGCAUGUGACCGUGGAAUCCUCAUGAGAAGGGAGCGUUAGAUUUCAUUCAAUCUGAUCUGAACCUGCACCGAAAUUCACAGAUACAGAAAUAAUGAUGCACUUCGAAUUUUAUUGCAGCAAGGGGAUAUAAUCAGAUUCUGAUUCGAUUAUGCAUGCAGACAGAAAUAGUAGAGUGAUGUAGUAGGCAUAAAUUGAAUGUCAUUUUGUGCCAGUUGCAAGUUAUACAGAAAUUUUAGAUAAUUCUCGAAUAAAAUAUCUGGUUCUAAUCGAAUGCUAAAUAUUCUGAAUAUUCUGAGAAAAAAAAAUUGUCCAUGAUGACUCGUGGGACUCCAAAGUUUUUUUAUUUACAUUCCUUCGAUUCGUCAGAUCUGUUACUUUGAAUUCCAUAAAGAAUCUACGUUUCUCCUGAGAUAUAAAAAUUUCAAGUAAUAAGGAUAAGCGCAAAGAUGAAUUCUUGAGAGCGGUGAAAGAAAUAUGAAGAAAUUUCACCAGAAAUACACAACAUUUGUUCCAAGUAACAAUGUUUUAAAACGUCAAUAUGUAUCAAAAAAUUUAUCGCAACUCUAUGUAUGAUGUAUCCAGGUGUUGAUUAUUUUAUACUGUUUGAAAUUUUAUGUACUGUAUAUGUAUAAUAUAUGAUA
rnacentral:lncRNA from 1 species